rnacentral:lncRNA from 1 species
ACAUUAUACUAUAUACCAGUAUCUCCAUUUGAAUGUCCUGGACCCAAGAAAAGAACUGGAACAUUUUGCUCCGUGUACAGCAACUUCAAAGUUGCUCUAUCCUGCCCACAGUCUGCACUGCUGGAGCUUCAGCUGAAUGUGAGUUGCUGAGCCGUCCAGAUUGAUCUGAAACAAUAUGUCCAUCCAGCAGCAUCUAGGCUACAUCAUCAGCAUCACUGUCCACACACAGGGAUGGCAGAUACAUUUGAGAGUUAUGGCUCCAACUGGAUAUGCAAUAGAGGAUUGCCUAUUGGGAAUCACUUGGAGGGGAGCAUUCUUGAGAACAGUUUAUGGGAGAAGUGGUCACCUGUUUCAAGCUCCUGACACCUUGACUUCCUGGCUUUAUGGUCUGUGCCCUUCAAUUGUGAACCAUAAGUCCUUUCUCCCGAGAAGUUCACUUUCCCCACGCUCGACUUCUGCCUGAUGGACCAACACUAGAUCUCCACAUCAGUUGGGCAUCAUUAAAAAGAAAAGGCUCCAUGUUUCCUGGGAAAUCCGGUCAUUGCAGAGCAUUUAAGUACAGCAAGAAUUUAUAUCACUCCCGACCCAGGAUUAGUAAUAAACAUGAAUACAUAUGUGUUGA